rnacentral:misc_RNA from 1 species
GAUGAAGAACGCAGCGAAAUGCGAUAAGUAGUGUGAAUUGCAGAAUUCAGUGAAUCAUCGAAUCUUUGAACGCACAUUGCGCCCUUUGGUAUUCCAAAGGGCAUGCCUGUUCGAGCGUCAUUUGUACCCUCAAGCUUUGCUUGGUGUUGGGCGUCUUGUCUCUAGCUUUGCUGGAGACUCGCCUUAAAGUAAUUGGCAGCCGGCCUACUGGUUUCGGAGCGCAGCACAAGUCGCACUCUCUAUCAGCAAAGGUCUAGCAUCCAUUAAGCCCUUUUUUCAACUUUUGACCUCGGAUCAGGUAGGGAUACCCGCUGAACUUAAGCAUAUCAAUAAGCGGAGGA